AUGACGAUGCCACAUGGUGUUGUCUUCAAAGGCGCAAGUCGCCAGAAGAGGGAUCCGGGCCGAUUAGCUUGUUGGGAGGUAAUGGCUCACAAGGCAUUGAUCGGUAGCCGGACUGAGAGGUUGGCCGGCCACACUGGA
rnacentral:rRNA from 1 species